ACGUCACGAUUAAUGAGGCGUUCAUCCUGAGCUGAUCAGGCACUGAACGGGGAGUAUUCCAUCGCCGUGCUGAGCACAUAGCGAACUCCUGCAAAAACUCAACACCACCUCGCCCUGCUACACAUUAUCUGACG
rnacentral:sRNA from 1 species